rnacentral:rRNA from 1 species
UGGGGAAUCUUGGACAAUGGGCGCAAGCCUGAUCCAGCCAUGCCGCGUGAGUGACGAAGGUCUUCGGAUUGUAAAGCUCUUUUGCCAGGGACGAUAAUGACGGUACCUGGAGAAUAAGCCCCGGCUAACUUCGUGCCAGCAGCCGCGGUAAUACGAAGGGGGCUAGCGUUGUUCGGAAUUACUGGGCGUAAAGCGCACGUAGGCGGAUUUGUAAGUCAGGGGUGAAAUCCCGGGGCUCAACCUCGGAACUGCCCUUGAUACUGCAAAUCUCGAGUCCGAUAGAGGUGAGUGGAAUUCCUAGUGUAGAGGUGAAAUUCGUAGAUAUUAGGAAGAACACCAGUGGCGAAGGCGGCUCACUGGAUCGGUACUGACGCUGAGGUGCGAAAGCGUGGGGAGCAAACAGGAUUAGAUACCCAAGUAGUCCCUGAGCGGGCUGGCAAGGCGCAU